rnacentral:rRNA from 1 species
UUGAACGCUGGCGGCAUGCCUUACACAUGCAAGUCGAACGGUAGAGGGGCAACCCUUGAGAGUGGCGAACGGGUGAGUAAUGCAUCGGAACGUGCCCAGUCGUGGGGGAUAACGCAGCGAAAGCUGUGCUAAUACCGCAUGUGAUCUGUGGAUGAAAGCAGGGGACCGCAAGGCCUUGUGCGAUUGGAGCGGCCGAUGUCAGAUUAGCUAGUUGGUAGGGUAAGGCCUACCAAGGCGACGAUCUGUAGCUG